rnacentral:rRNA from 1 species
AACGAACGCUGGCGGCAGGCCUAACACAUGCAAGUCGAACGCCCCACAAGGGGAGUGGCAGACGGGUGAGUAACACGUGGGAACCUUCCCUAUACUACGGAAUAGCCCAGGGAAACUUGGAGUAAUACCGUAUACGCCCGAGAGGGGAAAGAUUUAUCGGUAUAGGAUGGGCCCGCGUAGGAUUAGCUAGUUGGUGAGGUAAUGGCUCACCAAGGCGACGAUCCUUAGCUGGUCUGAGAGGACGACCAGCCACACUGGGACUGAGACACGGCCCAGACUCCUACGGGAGGCAGCAGUGGGGAAUAUUGGACAAUGGGCGCAAGCCUGAUCCAGCCAUGCCGCGUGAGUGAUGAAGGCCUUAGGGUUGUAAAGCUCUUUUGCCGGGGACGAUAAUGACGGUACCCGGAGAAUAAGUCCCGGCUAACUUCGUGCCAGCCGCCGCCGUAA